UAGAAUAGAGUGUACAGGUAGCACGGAGAGUUUUGAGCUCUUUAGAUUAGGUUCGAUUCCUAUUAUUCUAG
rnacentral:tRNA from 1 species